GGGACACGUGGUAUCCUGUCUGAAUAUGGGGGGACCAUCCUCCAAGGCUAAAUACUCCUGACUGACCGAUAGUGAACCAGUACCGUGAGGGAAAGGCGAAAAGAACCCCGGCGAGGGGAGUGAAAAAGAACCUGAAACCGUGUACGUACAAGCAGUGGGAGCCUCUUAAUGGGGUGACUGCGUACCUUUUGUAUAAUGGGUCAGCGACUUAUAUUCUGUAGCAAGGUUAACCGAAUAGGGGAGCCGAAGGGAAACCGAGUCUUAACUGGGCGUUAAGUUGCAGGGUAUAGACCCGAAACCCGGUGAUCUAGCCAUGGGCAGGUUGAAGGUUGGGUAACACUAACUGGAGGACCGAACCGACUAAUGUUGAAAAAUUAGCGGAUGACUUGUGGCUGGGGGUGAAAGGCCAAUCAAACCGGGAGAUAGCUGGUUCUCCCCGAAAGCUAUUUAGGUAGCGCCUCGUGAAUUCAUCUCCGGGGGUAGAGCACUGUUUCGGCAAGGGGGUCAUCCCGACUUACCAACCCGAUGCAAACUGCGAAUACCGGAGAAUGUUAUCACGGGAGACACACGGCGGGUGCUAACGUCCGUCGUGAAGAGGGAAACAACCCAGACCGCCAGCUAAGGUCCCAAAGUCAUGGUUAAGUGGGAAACGAUGUGGGAAGGCCCAGACAGCCAGGAUGUUGGCUUAGAAGCAGCCAUCAUUUAAAGAAAGCGUAAUAGCUCACUGGUCGAGUCGGCCUGCGCGGAAGAUGUAACGGGGCUAAACCAUGCACCGAAGCUGCGGCAGCGACACUAUGUGUUGUUGGGUAGGGGAGCGUUCUGUAAGCCUGUGAAGGUGGCCUGUGAGGGUUGCUGGAGGUAUCAGAAGUGCGAAUGCUGACAUAAGUAACGAUAAAGCGGGUGAAAAGCCCGCUCGCCGGAAGACCAAGGGUUCCUGUCCAACGUUAAUCGGGGCAGGGUGAGUCGACCCCUAAGGCGAGGCCGAAAGGCGUAGUCGAUGGGAAACAGGUUAAUAUUCCUGUACUUGGUGUUACUGCGAAGGGGGGACGGAGAAGGCUAUGUUGGCCGGGCGACGGUUGUCCCGGUUUAAGCGUGUAGGCUGGUUUUCCAGGCAAAUCCGGAAAACCAAGGCUGAGGCGUGAUGACGAGGCACUACGGUGCUGAAGCGACAAAUGCCCUGCUUCCAGGAAAAGCCUCUAAGCAUCAGGUAACAUCAAAUCGUACCCCAAACCGACACAGGUGGUCAGGUAGAGAAUACCAAGGCGCUUGAGAGAACUCGGGUGAAGGAACUAGGCAAAAUGGUGCCGUAACUUCGGGAGAAGGCACGCUGAUAUGUAGGUGAAGCGACUUGCUCGUGGAGCUGAAAUCAGUCGAAGAUACCAGCUGGCUGCAACUGUUUAUUAAAAACACAGCACUGUGCAAACACGAAAGUGGACGUAUACGGUGUGACGCCUGCCCGGUGCCGGAAGGUUAAUUGAUGGGGUUAGCGGUAACGCGAAGCUCUUGAUCGAAGCCCCGGUAAACGGCGGCCGUAACUAUAACGGUCCUAAGGUAGCGAAAUUCCUUGUCGGGUAAGUUCCGACCUGCACGAAUGGCGUAAUGAUGGCCAGGCUGUCUCCACCCGAGACUCAGUGAAAUUGAACUCGCUGUGAAGAUGCAGUGUACCCGCGGCAAGACGGAAAGACCCCGUGAACCUUUACUAUAGCUUGACACUGAACAUUGAGCCUUGAUGUGUAGGAUAGGUGGGAGGCUUUGAAGUGUGGACGCCAGUCUGCAUGGAGCCGACCUUGAAAUACCACCCUUUAAUGUUUGAUGUUCUAACGUUGGCCCGUAAUCCGGGUUGCGGACAGUGUCUGGUGGGUAGUUUGACUGGGGCGGUCUCCUCCUAAAGAGUAACGGAGGAGCACGAAGGUUGGCUAAUCCUGGUCGGACAUCAGGAGGUUAGUGCAAUGGCAUAAGCCAGCUUGACUGCGAGCGUGACGGCGCGAGCAGGUGCGAAAGCAGGUCAUAGUGAUCCGGUGGUUCUGAAUGGAAGGGCCAUCGCUCAACGGAUAAAAGGUACUCCGGGGAUAACAGGCUGAUACCGCCCAAGAGUUCAUAUCGACGGCGGUGUUUGGCACCUCGAUGUCGGCUCAUCACAUCCUGGGGCUGAAGUAGGUCCCAAGGGUAUGGCUGUUCGCCAUUUAAAGUGGUACGCGAGCUGGGUUUAGAACGUCGUGAGACAGUUCGGUCCCUAUCUGCCGUGGGCGCUGGAGAACUGAGGGGGGCUGCUCCUAGUACGAGAGGACCGGAGUGGACGCAUCACUGGUGUUCGGGUUGUCAUGCCAAUGGCACUGCCCGGUAGCUAAAUGCGGAAGAGAUAAGUGCUGAAAGCAUCUAAGCACGAAACUUGCCCCGAGAUGAGUUCUCCCUGACUCCUUGAGAGUCCUGAAGGAACGUUGAAGACGACGACGUUGAUAGGCCGGGUGUGUAAGCGCAGCGAUGCGUUGAGCUAACCGGUACUAAUGAACCGUGAGGCUUAACCUUACAACGCCGAAG
rnacentral:rRNA from 1 species